rnacentral:rRNA from 1 species
GGUUAAGCGACUAAGCGUACACGGUGGAUGCCCUGGCAGUCAGAGGCGAUGAAGGACGUGCUAAUCUGCGAUAAGCGUCGGUAAGGUGAUAUGAACCGUUAUAACCGGCGAUUUCCGAAUGGGGAAACCCAGUGUGAUUCGUCACACUAUCAUUAACUGAAUCCAUAGGUUAAUGAGGCGAACCGGGGGAACUGAAACAUCUAAGUACCCCGAGGAAAAGAAAUCAACCGAGAUUCCCCCAGUAGCGGCGAGCGAACGGGGAGCAGCCCAGAGCCUGAAUCAGUGUGUGUGUUAGUGGAAGCGUCUGGAAAGGCGUGCGAUACAGGGUGACAGCCCCGUACACAAAAAUGCACAUACUGUGAGCUCGAUGAGUAGGGCGGGACACGUGGUAUCCUGUCUGAAUAUGGGGGACCAUCCUCCAAGGCUAAAUACUCCUGACUGACCGAUAGUGAACCAGUACCGUGAGGGAAAGGCGAAAAGAACCCCGGCGAGGGGAGUGAAAAAGAACCUGAAACCGUGUACGUACAAGCAGUGGGAGCACGCUUAGGCGUGUGACUGCGUACCUUUUGUAUAAUGGGUCAGCGACUUAUAUUCUGUAGCAAGGUUAACCGAAUAGGGGAGCCGAAGGGAAACCGAGUCUUAACUGGGCGUUAAGUUGCAGGGUAUAGACCCGAAACCCGGUGAUCUAGCCAUGGGCAGGUUGAAGGUUGGGUAACACUAACUGGAGGACCGAACCGACUAAUGUUGAAAAAUUAGCGGAUGACUUGUGGCUGGGGGUGAAAGGCCAAUCAAACCGGGAGAUAGCUGGUUCUCCCCGAAAGCUAUUUAGGUAGCGCCUCGUGAAUUCAUCUCCGGGGGUAGAGCACUGUUUCGGCAAGGGGGUCAUCCCGACUUACCAACCCGAUGCAAACUGCGAAUACCGGAGAAUGUUAUCACGGGAGACACACGGCGGGUGCUAACGUCCGUCGUGAAGAGGGAAACAACCCAGACCGCCAGCUAAGGUCCCAAAGUCAUGGUUAAGUGGGAAACGAUGUGGGAAGGCCCAGACAGCCAGGAUGUUGGCUUAGAAGCAGCCAUCAUUUAAAGAAAGCGUAAUAGCUCACUGGUCGAGUCGGCCUGCGCGGAAGAUGUAACGGGGCUAAACCAUGCACCGAAGCUGCGGCAGCGACGCUUAUGCGUUGUUGGGUAGGGGAGCGUUCUGUAAGCCUGUGAAGGUGUGCUGUGAGGUAUGCUGGAGGUAUCAGAAGUGCGAAUGCUGACAUAAGUAACGAUAAAGCGGGUGAAAAGCCCGCUCGCCGGAAGACCAAGGGUUCCUGUCCAACGUUAAUCGGGGCAGGGUGAGUCGACCCCUAAGGCGAGGCCGAAAGGCGUAGUCGAUGGGAAACAGGUUAAUAUUCCUGUACUUGGUGUUACUGCGAAGGGGGACGGAGAAGGCUAUGUUGGCCGGGCGACGGUUGUCCCGGUUUAAGCGUGUAGGCUGGUUUUCCAGGCAAAUCCGGAAAAUCAAGGCCGAGGCGUGAUGACGAGGCACUACGGUGCUGAAGCAACAAAUGCCCUGCUUCCAGGAAAAGCCUCUAAGCAUCAGGUAACAUCAAAUCGUACCCCAAACCGACACAGGUGGUCAGGUAGAGAAUACCAAGGCGCUUGAGAGAACUCGGGUGAAGGAACUAGGCAAAAUGGUGCCGUAACUUCGGGAGAAGGCACGCUGAUACGUAGGUGAAGCGACUUGCUCGUGGAGCUGAAAUCAGUCGAAGAUACCAGCUGGCUGCAACUGUUUAUUAAAAACACAGCACUGUGCAAACACGAAAGUGGACGUAUACGGUGUGACGCCUGCCCGGUGCCGGAAGGUUAAUUGAUGGGGUUAGCGCAAGCGAAGCUCUUGAUCGAAGCCCCGGUAAACGGCGGCCGUAACUAUAACGGUCCUAAGGUAGCGAAAUUCCUUGUCGGGUAAGUUCCGACCUGCACGAAUGGCGUAAUGAUGGCCAGGCUGUCUCCACCCGAGACUCAGUGAAAUUGAACUCGCUGUGAAGAUGCAGUGUACCCGCGGCAAGACGGAAAGACCCCGUGAACCUUUACUAUAGCUUGACACUGAACAUUGAGCCUUGAUGUGUAGGAUAGGUGGGAGGCUUUGAAGUGUGGACGCCAGUCUGCAUGGAGCCGACCUUGAAAUACCACCCUUUAAUGUUUGAUGUUCUAACGUGGACCCGUGAUCCGGGUUGCGGACAGUGUCUGGUGGGUAGUUUGACUGGGGCGGUCUCCUCCUAAAGAGUAACGGAGGAGCACGAAGGUUGGCUAAUCCUGGUCGGACAUCAGGAGGUUAGUGCAAUGGCAUAAGCCAGCUUGACUGCGAGCGUGACGGCGCGAGCAGGUGCGAAAGCAGGUCAUAGUGAUCCGGUGGUUCUGAAUGGAAGGGCCAUCGCUCAACGGAUAAAAGGUACUCCGGGGAUAACAGGCUGAUACCGCCCAAGAGUUCAUAUCGACGGCGGUGUUUGGCACCUCGAUGUCGGCUCAUCACAUCCUGGGGCUGAAGUAGGUCCCAAGGGUAUGGCUGUUCGCCAUUUAAAGUGGUACGCGAGCUGGGUUUAGAACGUCGUGAGACAGUUCGGUCCCUAUCUGCCGUGGGCGCUGGAGAACUGAGGGGGGCUGCUCCUAGUACGAGAGGACCGGAGUGGACGCAUCACUGGUGUUCGGGUUGUCAUGCCAAUGGCACUGCCCGGUAGCUAAAUGCGGAAGAGAUAAGUGCUGAAAGCAUCUAAGCACGAAACUUGCCCCGAGAUGAGUUCUCCCUGACCCUUUAAGGGUCCUGAAGGAACGUUGAAGACGACGACGUUGAUAGGCCGGGUGUGUAAGCGCAGCGAUGCGUUGAGCUAACCGGUACUAAUGAACCGUGAGGCUUAACCUU